CUACAAAUUGUAGACACCUAAAUUUUAAUUGACAUUUAGUUAGUGGCUGUCUUUUAUUCCACUAAUUUUCAGGUAAUCGAAUAUCAAAAUCUAUUCAAUAUUGCAGUCGCAGCUUUGACCUGAAGUACUUUGCUUUUUUAAAUUGUUCUUUUUAAAGCUUAAAUCAGUUUUUUUCAAACUCUCUAUGUUGUAACAAAUGAAUCAGCUACUUUACUUUUAUGAAGACUUGGCUGGAAUCUAUUUUCUUCUUUUAAAGGGUUUCCCUUGAUUUAGAUUUGAGAAAUGUGCGAUUAAAAUUGUGCUAUUGAGAGAAGUUAAUGUGUGGCUUUGGAGCACUUGCUGCUCAGCUCUCAGCAUUCUGUGUGGUCCGCCCACGCAUAGCGGAAGGGGUCAAAUGACAGAGGUCAGCGGAGAGAGAGAGAAGGGGCAGUGGCUGGGAGGGGGGCAGACCACCCUCGAAGGAAUCAACAUAAGACGCUUAUGAAAUACGACUACAAAAGCGAAGAUGGAGAAGAAAAUGGAGGAGAUGGGAAUGGAAAUCGAGAGGGAGAUGGAGAUGGAGAUGGAUGGCACCUUCAAUGUUGCUGCUGCUGGCUCUGGGAAAUGAUUAAAUGAUUAAUGAGCGAUUGGUUUUGUUUGUUUGCUGCACUGCGCUGCGCUGCGUUGCAUCGGAUGUGGCAAUCCCUCAAUUCUCCAAUCAGUCAAUCGUUCAUUUCAAUUAGCCAAUUACGCAUGCCAGACCAAUUGCCAAGUCUUAAGAGUCUCAGAGCCAAGUUGAAGCUGACAUUUGUAAUUAUAGAUACUGAUGCCGUAAUUUGCAGUUACCGCUGCUGUUGGAGUUGUUGCUACUGUUGCAAUUUGCAACAAGUGGAGCAAGUGCAACGCGCGUUGCACGGAAGUUGCACAAGUUGCAGAGCCAAGUGAAGGGAGAGAGACGAGAGGAAGAGAGGCAAGAAGUCUGCUUAGAAUACUCGACAUCGAUAUCGAUAUCAAUGUUUGUGAGGAUGUUUGCAGCAAGACGGAAGUGCAACUGCAACUCAGCCAACUCUGGGUGGCAAGUCGGAUGUGGCGCCUCUCUCGUCAUCUCUCUUCACUCUUCACUCUCCACGCAUUUACUUCCGUUUUGCCAAUCAAUUGGCCAAUUGACCCUGCAGAUGCAAGCGAUUGAAUUCUUCCUGUGAUUAGUGAAUUAGGUGUGAAAGGGAAAUGCUUCCUCUUUUGUGAUAAACUCACAACUCAACUCUCAAUUCCCUUUUUGUUUUCCCACCGAAAGUGUUUGAGCUUCUCUCUCUCUUCUUUCUCUUCUCAACAUUCUCCAGAAGAAUUGAAUUUCUGGUAUUCGAAUUGGCCGCGAGGCAAAACACGCUUUGUGGGGUCCCGUUUAAUUGCCCCCGUCCGUGGUGUCUAAUGAAUGUGUUUAUGCUGGCAAUACACAAAAUACUAAAUUCGUAAAGAGGCACAGAGAAAAGAUAAAAGGGGCGGAACCUUUUGACCCGAAUCUAAAUAUGAUUAAAUGUUAAAACGCUAUGAAAUCGACGUGGCAACACUUGAAGCUAAUUGAUUUCACCUCCGCGCCUAGGCUUGUCUCUCUCUCUCUCUUUCUCUCGCUCUCUCUAUCUAUCUCUUGUCUAUUGCCUCGAGAAAGAUUCCAUUGAUUCGCAGGGAAAAUCUCAUCGUCAUCAGCUUUGGCUUCAGCAAGAUCAUCGUCCCCAUCGUCGUCAUGCCUCGGAGAUACAGGUCAUACGAUCGAUCGAUCGAUUGAUCGCUUCGUUAAUUAAUUCUGCGAUCCGUCACAAUGAGAAACAAUGAAACAUUAAUCGUUCGUUAUGCGCCGCGUUGCCAGCAGCCAGCAGCCAAAAGUCUAAAGCCUAGCAUCAAAUUCGUAAUAAAUUACCACACAAAGACGUUUACGAUUCCAAUCAAAAGUCAUGCCACAAAUUCCCAAAUGUUGUGCGACGAGCACGCGCCAAACAACUGGAAUAAUACUACAAGCAGAGCAAUAAGUAAAAACAACAACAACAUACCCUGUAGUUCAGUAGGGAGAGAGGGUAUAUUGCACUGCAAAGUAUAGCAUGAAAUCUGAAGUGAAUUUAA